rnacentral:rRNA from 1 species
CCUACGGGUGGCAGCAGUGGGGAAUAUUGGGCAAUGGGCGCAAGCCUGACCCAGCAACGCCGCGUGAAGGAAGAAGGCUUUCGGGUUGUAAACUUCUUUUCUCAGGGACGAAGAAAGUGACGGUACCUGAGGACUAAGCCACGGCUAACUACGUGCCAGCAGCCGCGGGAAUACGUAGGUGGCAAGCGUUAUCCGGAUUUAUUGGGUGUAAAGGGCGUGUAGGCGGGAGCGCAAGUCAGAUGUGAAAACUCAGGGCUCAACCCUGAGCCUGCAUUUGAAACUGUGUUUCUUGAGUGCUGGAGAGGCAAUCGGAAUUCCGUGUGUAGCGGUGAAAUGCGUAGAUAUACGGAGGAACACCAGUGGCGAAGGCAGAUUGCUGGACAGGAACUGACGCUGAGGCGCGAAAGCGUGGGGAGCAAACAGGAUUAGAUACCCCUGUAGUC